rfam:Stegodyphus mimosarum contig17280, whole genome shotgun sequence.
AACCAGGUUUUAUUUAAAACCACCACAGUAAAAAAAAGGGGGAAG